rnacentral:piRNA from 1 species
UAAUGUUACAAUGUUUUGCAUAGGUGAGC